rnacentral:lncRNA from 10 species
AGAAAAAGUAGCCAGCCCACCAUCCCUAGAUGAUUUUGCAGUCUUUGCACACCAGUGUGGCCAUAGGCUUGUUUUCUCCUGGACUGAGCCUGCAGAUCCUAUGAGCAAGCAUAUGUCCUGUGCUCCACUAGUCCUAGCUGGAUCGUGGACAUAUUACCAUCAUUACAAAUAUCAAUAGUUUGUGAUUACUUCAAACAAUCUGAAGUUGAAGGACCCCAGAUAUCCUUCAAAACAGGAAUCUGCAGGCAGAUGCUGAAACCAUGAAUACAGAGGGACAACUAUGCUCCGGCCCUGAACGCAGGAGAGUUGCUAAAGAAGUUGCUCACAGAGGCGGGAGAGAGCAGGCUACUGGUUUCCUUCAAAAUGGAAUAGGAAACAGAAAACGUGCAUCAUUUCUUCGCACUUGAAUCAGCAACAUGACACAGGACUUUGGCAUCAG